GCGCCCGUGGCUCAGCUGGAUAGAGUAGCAGACUACGAAUCUGAAGGUCGCAGGUUCGAAUCCUGCCGGGCGCGCCA
rnacentral:tRNA from 2 species